CAAAUCCUACGGGGGGCAGCAGUGCGGAAUAUUGGUCAAUGGGCGCGCUCCUGCCCCCGCCAAGCCGCGUGAGGGAAGACGGCCCUAUGGGUUGUAAACCUCUUUUGUCGGAGAACAAAACCCGGGACGUGUCCCGGACUGCGUGUAUCCGAAGAAAAAGCAUCGGCUAACUCCGUGCCAGCAGCCGCGGUAAUACGGAGGAUGCGAGCGUUAUCCGGAUUUAUUGGGUUUAAAGGGUGCGUAGGCGGUCCGUUAAGUCAGCGGUAAAAUUGAGGGGCUCAACCCCGUCGAGCCGUUGAAAUUGG
rnacentral:rRNA from 1 species